UGGGGAAUAUUGCACAAUGGGCGGAAGCCUGAUGCAGCGACGCCGCGUGAGGGAUGACGGCCUUCGGGUUGUAAACCUCUUUCAGUAGGGACGAAGCGUAAGUGACGGUACCUGCAGAAGAAGCACCGGCUAACUACGUGCCAGCAGCCGCGGUAAUACGUAGGGUGCGAGCGUUGUCCGGAAUUACUGGGCGUAAAGAGCUCGUAGGCGGUUUGUCACGUCGUCUGUGAAAUCCUAGGGCUUAACCCUGGACGUGCAGGCGAUACGGGCUGACUUGAGUACUACAGGGGAGACUGGAAUUUCUGGUGUAGCGGUGGAAUGCACAGAUAUCAGGAAGAACACCGAUGGCGAAGGCAGGUCUCUGAGUAGUAACUGACGCUGAGGAGCGAAAGCAUGGGUAGCGAACAGG
rnacentral:rRNA from 1 species